CUUGCUUUUAAGCAUUGCUCACUUAUAAAAUCUUUCAAUUCCUUAGGGCCUGUUUAUAUGAUCCCGCCUAGACGGUACAGGAUGUUUUCAUCCCGCCAAGACAGGAUACUCGCCUAGUGUUUAUAUGGACAAAAUACAUUGCCAGGAUGAAACCAUUCGGUGCUUGACGUCAUAUUUUUGUUGCAAUAAAGGCAUUUACGCAUGCCCAAAAGGGAAAAAUUCAUCCCACCUAACCAGGAUGAAGUGUUUAUAUGGGAAUUUUUCAUACCAGCUAGGCGGGAUGAAGUGUUUAUAUGGGAAUUUUUCAUCUCUCUUAGGCGGGAUCCCGGCAUCUGUUGCUGAGAUCCAGUCUAGGCGAGAUAAGUGGCGGGAUCAUAUAAACACUCUUUAGCAAUUGUAUUACGAGCGGGAUCUCGGUAAGCAUCCCGUCCCGCCUGGGAUCAUAUAAACAGGCCCCUAAUCUCAUCCAAUGAUACUGAAUCACAGCUUGUAAGGCCCUGUUUACAUGAGACCAGGAUGAAACCAAACUGAAAUAAAAAUUGAAAUUGCAUGUCAACAUGUUUACAUGAGACCAGUAUGAGAAUCACAAAAUUUUCAAUUUAUUCCCCUUGCCAGGCAAUUAGAUGACUUUUGUUAGCAUGUGUUGUUCACUUGUUCCAAUGUCAACAUUCAUUCCAGUCUGAAUUCAUACUGGUCUGAGAGUCAGUCGGCUUGGUCCAGCAGGCGGAAUGACUUGAGACCUCAUGUAAAC